rnacentral:misc_RNA from 1 species
AAGUCGUAACAAGGUUUCCGUAGGUGAACCUGCGGAAGGAUCAUUAACAAAUGCUUUAUUGCAUCCACCUUUUGUGCACCGUAAAAUUUUCACUUGAAUUUUGUCUGAUUAAUCCUUGUUCUGAAAGGAACAUGAAUUAUAAUCAAAUACAACUUUUAACAAUGGAUCUCUUGGCUCUC